CUUGGUGGUUAGCGCGGGGUGGAACCACCCGUUCCCAUCCCGAACACGGCAGUGAAACUCCCCAGCGCUGACGAUACUGCACUCGCAAGGGUGUGGGAAAAUAGGCCAUCGCCAGGG
rnacentral:rRNA from 1 species